rnacentral:tRNA from 1 species
CGCGGGUUGGUGUAGUGGUAACACGGCAGGCUCUGAACCUGCAACCGACUGUUCGAUUCAGUCACCCGCAACCA